CCAAGGAGUCUAACAUGUAUGCGAGUCAUUGGGAAUUAUUAAACCCAAAGGCAUAAUGAAAGUAAAGAUCCAAUUUUAUGGAUAUGAGGAGAGAUCAUGGCUUUAAGUCUUGAUAUUUCGUAAGAUUUAUUGAGUAAAGUAUGCGCAUCUCCUGGAUGUCUUAACCUCUGAAGGUAGGGCAUACCUAGAGCAUACACGUUGGGACCCGAAAGAUGGUGAACUAUGCCUGGUCAGAACGAAGUCAGGGGAAACCCUGAUGGAGGUUCGUAGCGAUUCUGACGUGCAAAUCGAUCGUCGGAACUGGGUAUAGGGGCGAAAGACUAAUCGAACCAUCUA
rnacentral:rRNA from 1 species